rnacentral:rRNA from 1 species
UACAGAGGUCUCAAGCGUUGUUCGGAUUCAUUGGGCGUAAAGGGUGCGUAGGCGGCGCGGUAAGUCGGGUGUGAAAUCUCGGAGCUUAACUCCGAAACUGCAUUCGAUACUGCCGUGCUUGAGGACUGGAGAGGAGACUGGAAUUUACGGUGUAGCGGUGAAAUGCGUAGAUAUCGUAAGGAAGACCAGUGGCGAAGGCGGGUCUCUGGGCCGGAACUGACGCUGAGGAGCGAAAGCGUGGGGAGCGAACAGG